rnacentral:lncRNA from 1 species
CAGGAAGUCUCUCCCUGGAAAUCUGCUGAGCAUGCUGGCCAAGGAAUCAGAGACCAUAAGAAGAUGUCAGAUCCCCUGGAGCUGUGAUUAUAAGAUGGCUGUGAGCCACCAUGUUGGUGCUGAAAAUUGAACCCUGGUCCUCUGCCAGAGCAUAAAGCACCUGAUGGCAGUGGAAAUUAGAGCCACCUAAAAAGAGGUCAGUUCCAAGACUCAUUUGCAUGCUGCCCUCAGCUGGGAAUGGCUCUCUGGCCCUCUUCAGCCUUCUGAGCAACUCCUGGGACUCAAGAAUCAUGUGUUGAUGGGUCCCACCGGACUACACAUUAGGAAAAUGAGAGCCCUUUCCCAUACAUCAACUGACUCAGGAAAAGUCAAGGAACUUCAGGU